UUGGGCAGAGGAUGGGGUUACUGCGCCCAGUCCCCGACUGUUCAGUGUCCGGCCAUGUGCGCGCGCUGCACCCGGGCCUGCGUGGGGAAACAGGGAGUGCAGACAGGGCCUCUGCGCCUGCGCGGCUGCUGUUCUAGGGGAGCAGGCUCGACAGACAACAUUUUGUAAGAAACUUCCACUAAGGAGACUGAGACGAAGAAUGACAAAGUGAGACAGAUAAAUGGAGAGAGGCAGGAAUGGGAGUCCUAGAUACGGUGGUCAGCAGGCUCUCUGGACAGGUGACCCUUGAGCAGGAAGCUUAAGAACCACACCUUAUUCCGGGGAAGGAUGUCCCUGGCUGAAGUGGGUCAGUGCAAAGGCCAGAAGCAGGGAAUCCAGAGAAGAGGGAAAUGUGGCCACAGACCAAGGAAGAGGAGACAGCCACAUGAAGACAGAGGCACAGGCUGGAGUCAUCUGGGCAUGAGACAAGAACAUGGGCAGCUAGCAGGAGCUGAAAGAGAUGGGAGGACCCUCUGCCAGAGCCCUCAGAGCGAGUGAGGCCUCCAGGAUUGCGAGAGACAAGAGUCAGCAUCAAGUCUUCUGAAACACGCUGCCAUGGAGAAGAGGAGAGGGAGUGGCGGAGUGUGGGUUUAACUGUUGGUAUUAAUCGCUGCACGUGGGCUUGGGGGCAGAUGUCUCCCUCCCCUCUCAUGUGUGCGUGUGGAGGAAUUCCCCAGCUCGUCCCCACUGCUUCCUCUGGUCUAGGUAAGGAGGAGCGAUGUAUCUGAUUGUGGGAAUGUUUGGCCCAGCCGGGGAAAAAAUUAAGUCUUCUGGUCCAUGAACAUGGGAUGUCUAUUUAUUUAAGUCUGCUUUACUUUUCCCCAUGAUGUUUUGUCAAUUUCAGAGUGUAAGUUUUAUACUCAGUAAGUUCUUUAAAAAAAUUUUCAUUUAAAAAAGUUUUAUUGGAUUACAGUUGAUCUACAAUGCUGUGUUGGUUUCAGGUGUACAGCCACGUGAAUCAGUUAUGCAUAUACAUAUGUCCACUCUUCCAGAUUCUUUGCCCAUAUGGGCCUGUACUCAGUAACUUCCUACAGCACCUGUCCAGUCCUUACUUUGUAAAGCAGGCCUAUAAGGGUUCCUGGUUAUUCCUCUGUUCACCCUUCCCCACACCACCAUGUCCACCCUCAGUGACUAAUACCGUUUCCACUAAUAACAACAGCUUAACCCAGCUUAAGCACAUGCCCGGCACUGUUGUAGGAACUUGGCCUACAGUAACUAAUGGAAUCUUCAUAACUAUCCUAGGAGAGGAGGCCAGUGACUUGCCCAAGGUCUGCAACGAAUGGGGAGCAGAGCCAGAAUUCCACCCAGGUUGUCAGACGUCUGCAUCUCUGCUUUUCUUCGUUGACUUCCUUGCCUGUUUUGCAAUGGCAGUUGGGAUAUGUGUGGUUGAACCCCAUGAAGCAGCUGAUGUUUGACCACUUUUUAAAAUUAAU
ensembl:lncRNA